rnacentral:lncRNA from 1 species
GGUGGCGCUGAGCCUGAUGAACUGCAAGAUGGGCAAGGUGUAGCUGUUAACGGUGGUCAUACGACCUAGGUUGGGCUUGUAUACGUCAGCACGAGCAGGGUCGUCAAUGUUUUCGUGGGACCUCAUGCUGCAGAUAGUCUCCUCAAGGCCGUUGUCUUGUGGGCCACGUGGGCGUCUCCUCUCUUCGCUCUCGUAGGGUUGUCUCAAAGGUGGUCGCACGACCUGGAAAGGUCCCUUAACACGAACGAUGUUUCCUCGGUUGUCUUGUUGGUUCUGAAGCUCCUGAGCCAACUGAACGUCAAUUUUCAAUGCCUGAGCAAUGACCUGAGCGUCGAAGCCGCUCCACAUGUUCUUCUGUUCUUGUUGUUGCUGUGGACCGCCAAAGCCACCCUGUUGGUUGUUUCCGGC